GACGAACGCUGGCGGCGUGCUUAACACAUGCAAGUCGAACGGAAAGGCCCUGCUUUUGUGGGGUGCUCGAGUGGCGAACGGGUGAGUAACCCGUGAGUAACCUGCCCUUGACUUUGGGAUAACUUCAGGAAACUGGGGCUAAUACCGGAUAGGAGCUCCUGCUGCAUGGUGGGGGUUGGAAAGUUUCGGCGGUCGGGGAUGGACUCGCGGCUUAUCAGCUUGUUGGUGGGGUAGUGGCUUACCAAGGCUUUGACGGGUAGCCGGCCUGAGAGGGUGACCGGCCACAUUGGGACUGAGAUACGGCCCAGACUCCUACGGGAGGCAGCAGUGGGGAAUAUUGCACAAUGGGCGGAAGCCUGAUGCAGCAACGCCGCGUGCGGGAUGACGGCCUUCGGGCUGUAAACCGCUUUCGCCUGUGACGAAGCGUGAGUGACGGUAAUGGGUAAAGAAGCACCGGCUAACUACGUG
rnacentral:rRNA from 1 species